UACGGGGGGGGCAAGCGUUGUUCGGAAUUACUGGGCGUAAAGGGCUCGUAGGCGGCCAACUAAGUCGGAUGUGAAAUCCCCAGGCUUAACCUGGGAACUGCAUCCGAUACUGGAUGGCUUGAAUUCGGGAGAGGGAUGCAGAAUUCCAGGUGUAGCGGUGAAAUGCGUAGAUAUCUGGAGGAAUACCGGUGGCGAAGGCGGCAUCCUGGACCGACAUUGACGCUGAACGGCGAAAGCUAGGGGAGCAAACGGG
rnacentral:rRNA from 1 species